rnacentral:rRNA from 1 species
AAGCUUAGUUUGUAAUUAUUAGUUAAUGCAGAUCGACUACCCUCUACUAAAGUUCUAGGUAGAAUAAUGAUGAUGACAAUUUUUUACCUAUAUGUCUUGACCAAGUCUCGUGCCAGCAGUCGCGGUAAUACGUGGAAGACUAGUGUUAUUCAUCUUUAUUAGGUUUAAAGGGUACCUAGACGGUAUUUCUAGCCCAAAAUAGGGUACGGAUUUACUAGAGUUUUAUGUGAGGAGGGGAGUACUCGUGGAGUAGAGAUGAAAUUUUGUUAUACUAUGAGGUAACUGGUGGCGGCGAAAGCAACCUUCUAUGUAUAAACUGACGUUGAGGGACGAAGGCUUGGGUAGCAAAUAGGAUUAGAUACCCUAGUAGUCCAAGCAGACAAUUCUGAAUGCCAUAGAUUAUAUUAUUUUUGGUCUAUAAAUGAAAGUGUAAGCAUUCCACCUUAGGAGUAAUGUGGCAACACAGGAACUGGAA